CCUGAUGCAGCCAUGCCGCGUGUGUGAAGAAGGCCUUCGGGUUGUAAAGCACUUUCAGUUGUGAGGAAAAGUUAGUAGUUAAUACCUGCUAGCCGUGACGUUAACAACAGAAGAAGCACCGGCUAACUCCGUGCCAGCAGCCGCGGUAAUACGGAGGGUGCGAGCGUUAAUCGGAAUUACUGGGCGUAAAGCGCACGCAGGCGGUUUGUUAAGCUAGAUGUGAAAGCCCCGGGCUCAACCUGGGAUGGUCAUUUAGAACUGGCAGACUAGAGUCUUGGAGAGGGGAGUGGAAUUCCAGGUGUAGCGGUGAAAUGCGUAGAUAUCUGGAGGAACAUCAGUGGCGAAGGCGACUCCCUGGCCAAAGACUGACGCUCAUGUGCGAAAGUGUGGGUAGCGAACAGGAUUAGAUACCCUGGUAGUCCACACCGUAAACGCUGUCUACUAGCUGUUUGUGACUUUAAGUCGUGAGUAGCGAAGCUAACGCGAUAAGUAGACCGCCUGGGGAGUACGGCCGCAAGGUUAAAACUCAAAUGAAUUGACGGGGGCCCGCACAAGCGGUGGAGCAUGUGGUUUAAUUCGAUGCAACGCGAAGAACCUUACCUACACUUGACAUGCAGAGAACUUUCCAGAGAUGGAUUGGUGCCUUCGGGAACUCUGACACAGGUGCUGCAUGGCUGUCGUCAGCUCGUGUCGUGAGAUGUUGGGUUAAGUCCCGCAACG
rnacentral:rRNA from 1 species